CACACCGCCCGUCACACCAUGGGAGUCAGUAACGCCCGAAGUCAGUGACCCAACCGUAAGGAGGGAGCUGCCGAAGGUGGGACCGAUAACUGGGGUNAAGUCGUAACAAGGUACC
rnacentral:rRNA from 1 species